CAAUAAUUUAAGGCUGUUUAAAAAUGAGAACUAGAUAUUUAAUUUUACCUACAUUCUUUAGGAAGGGGCAUCACUUCCCAUCAGUCUAAACUGAUUGUAGAAGAGAGAUUGGCAACUUAGCAGUGAAUUCCAAGAAGUUGUAACUUGCCAAUGUUAGGUCAUUAAAUUAUUGCUCUUGACUUGUGAAAGGUGAACUAAGACUUUUCUGACUGCACUUGUUGACAUGUGGGUAAUUGUGAAGAGUUUCUAUGUUCCAUCUGAAUUUCUUCUUUCACCUUUAACGAAGAUACUUGAAAAUUGUUUAAUUUGUUUCCUCUUUUUCAUUGAGGGGGUUAAAGUAAUCUAGUUGCUGAUGUAAUGUUUUUUAUAGUGGAAAAAGUAGUGGUGAAGGCAAGAAAUCAGUCUCAAAGCAUUUGUUUCAGCUGCAACCUGUAGAUCUUGGGAGACUGCUUUUGGAGGCUGUUGUAAAAUCCUCUUCAUUUGUAUUGUUAAUAAACAUGAUAUGCUGCCCUUGAUUUAAAUAUGU
rnacentral:lncRNA from 1 species